rnacentral:rRNA from 1 species
GGAUGCGAUCAUACUAGCACUAAAGCACCGGAUCCCAUCAGAACUCUGAAGUUAAGCGUGCUUGGGCGAGAGUAGUACUAGGUUGGGUGACCUCCUGGGAAGUCCUCGUGUUGCAUUCC